rnacentral:rRNA from 1 species
UACAGAGGGUGCGAGCGUUGUCCGGAAUUACUGGGCGUAAAGGGCGCGUAGGCGGCUUGGUAAGUCGGGGGUGAAAGUCAGCGGCUCAACCGCUGGACUGCCUUCGAGACUGCCUGGCUUGAGCAUGGUAGAGGCUGGCGGAAUUCCCGGUGUAGCGGUGGAAUGCGUAGAGAUCGGGAAGAACAUCAGUGGCGAAGGCGGCCAGCUGGGCCAUUGCUGACGCUGAUGCGCGACAGCGUGGGGAGCAAACAGG